AUUAAAGGAGAAGAUUGUUCUUUUAGCAAACACAUGCAUAUCAAAUCAAGUUUUAUAAUAAGAAGAAAUCUUUCUUGAUAUCAAUCCCCUUGCCCCUCAUUCUUUGAGAAUCAGAAGGAUCCUUUUCGAGUUUUCGUUUCUUCGUUUGAAAUCUGGGCUCUUCUAUAUUUGAAUUAUUUUUUGGAUUUAUUCUUUAUUUAUUUCAUUUCAAUUUUCCCUCUUCCUCUGUCCCUAUCCUCUAGGUACAUCGUUUGCAUCAAUAGAGAACAUUUUCCUCUGUAUGAAUCUAUAUCAUUCCAUUCCAAUUUCUUCACGAAACUUCCCAAGGAAAAUCUCGAAUUGGAUCCAAAAUUGACAGGUUAA
rnacentral:rRNA from 1 species